rnacentral:rRNA from 1 species
UACGGAGGGUGCAAGCGUUAUCCGGAUUUAUUGGGUUUAAAGGGUCCGUAGGCGGACUUAUAAGUCAGUGGUGAAAGCCUGUCGCUUAACGAUAGAACUGCCAUUGAUACUGUAAGUCUUGAGUAUAUUUGAGGUAGCUGGAAUAAGUAGUGUAGCGGUGAAAUGCAUAGAUAUUACUUAGAACACCAAUUGCGAAGGCAGGUUACCAAGAUAUAACUGACGCUGAGGGACGAAAGCGUGGGGAGCGAACAGGAUUAGAUACCCUGGUAGUCCACGCCGUAAACGAUGCUAACUCGUUUUUGGGGCUUCGGCUUCAGAGACCAAGCGAAAGUGAUAAGUUAGCCACCUGGGGAGUACGCUCGCAAGAGUGAA